CCGCCCUUCCGCCAGCCCGGGCUGCCCCGCGCGCCGGCGCCCUCCGCGCUUCCGGUAAGCGCGCGCCCGAGCCCCGCCCCGACCUCCGGCCCCGGCCGCCUCGCCGGUGCCCCCGCCCCGAGAGCCUCCCCCGGGCCGCCGCCGCCGCUCCGCCGCCCCGAUUUCAAGCGAAAGCGCUGAUGACGCCGUUCCGCUCCUCUGGGCGACCCGGAAGCGCCGAGGCCCGGCCCGCCCCCUGACCCGGAAGCUCCUCCCCGCUGUCUUUCCGGUGAGGAGGCCGCCGCCGCCGGAGCCGGGCCGGGGCCGCCGCUGGGGGGGAGCCCGAGCCGGCCCUGGAAGGAGGAGAAAUGCAAGAAGAGGGAGAGUGAGAGGGGAGGGUACGUUGACAUCUGUCUGAUACUAGACUGGUGAAUAGGAAGAAGGUCCCAUCUCUGGCCUGUUUGUGGAAGCUGGGAUGAUGAAGGCCCUGCAGUGGGAGCGUGCUGUGGUACAGGGUUGAAGCUCCAGCCCAUGUCUGGUAGUUAUAGAGCAAUUGGAAGGGUUACGAGCAGAGUGCUGGUAAAGUAAGUGUGAGCAGCGUCUGAGUGGGGGCUGCCAAUAGGGGUGCAUGUUUUCAAAAUACCCUUUUAGCCUAAAAAUGGGGUAGGGGAGGGACAGCUCUGGGUACUAGGACUGUAGGUUGGUGGAGGAACCUUAACUUUGUUUUCUGCCUUUGGAAGACUGGCUUGCUAGUGAAAUUGCAUGAAAGCUUCAACUUUUACACCAUUUCUCCUUUUCUUCCACAUUCUUAUAACCUCAUCACACUUCAGCCUUUCAAGCCAGAAGUUUGAGGCCUGAUAGAUAAUGUGAUCAAACGUGAAAAUUUUUGGACAGGGAGGUGGAUUCUAAGGGAGUCUAAUCAAAUCAGUGUAGCCGUCCUUUGAAGAAUCAAUAAGAGCCAUGUUUGACUUGCACACUUUGUAAGCUGAGCAAACAAAAGUUAGAUUCUCUGUGAAGUUCUGGUGGAAGACGAGAUGGAGACAAGCAGCAACUGAGUGCCCUGGCCUCUGCUAGUCCAGAUUUUGGAAUCUGGAAAUGGACUUGCUUUUUGUUACUUGUUCUCUUUAAAUAAGAAAGCUGUUGUGAGUUUUUUUUUUUUUUUUUUUUUGCUUAAAUUGGCAUCUUUCUGUUUAACUCCUGAAGUUUGCAGUUGCAUCCAACAGAGUCUUGGACAGCUACAAAGUUUCUCUGGAAAAUGCAUCUGAUCAUUAUAUGAGACUUUGUGGUUUUGGACAGUCAGGUUCACUUUGGUGUUUUUGAUGUGGAAGCUAAGCAAAUAACGGUGUAUUUAUUUUAAAAACAAAACAAAAACCAAGCAAAAAAACCUCAAACUUGGAAAUUCCAAACAAAAUAGCUCU
rnacentral:lncRNA from 1 species